rnacentral:rRNA from 1 species
GAGUUUGAUCAUGGCUCAGGAUUAACGCUGGCGGCAUGCCUAAUACAUGCAAGUCGAACGGAGUAGCAAUACUUAGUGGCGAACGGGUGAGUAACACGUAUCUAAUCUACCAUUUAGUGGGGAAUAACUGUUGGAAACGACAGCUAAUACCGCAUAAUAUUGCUGGAUAAUUUCCAGUAAUGAAAGGAGCUUUCAAGCUCCGCUGAUUGAUGAGGAUGCGGCGCAUUAGCUAGUUGGUAGGGUAAUGGCCUACCAAGGCAAUGAUGCGUAGCCGAUCUGAGAGGAUGAACGGCCACAUUGGGACUGAGACACGGCCCAAACUUCUACGGAAGGCAGCAGUAGGGAAUUUUUCACAAUGGGCGAAAGCCUGAUGGAGCAAUGCCGCGUGACUGAUGAAGGUCUUCGGAUUGUAAAGGUCUGUUGUAAGGGAAGAAAUGGUAAAACAGGAAAUGGUUUUAUCUAUGACGGUACCUUACCAGAAAGCCACGGCUAACUAUGUGCCAGCAGCCGCGGUAAUACAUAGGUGGCAAGCGUUAUCCGGAUUUAUUGGGCGUAAAGGGUGCGUAGACGGUUUUGCAAGUCUGAGGUUAAAUUUAGGAGCUCAACUCCUAAUCGCCUUGGAAACUACAAGACUAGAGUAUAGGAGAGGGUUAGUGGAAUUCCAUGUGUAGCGGGUGGAAUGUGUAG